GGUUAUGGCUCAGGAGUAGAGCGCUCGCCUCGCACAUGCAAGGCCCUGGGUUCGAUCCUCAGCACCA
rnacentral:tRNA from 1 species